UUACAGAUGAAGAAGAUGAGACUCAGAGCAAUACAUAAGUUGCCCAAGGUCAGAGAGCAAUGACCAUAUCAGAGCACAGUGUACUCCUCUUGCCGUAUUCAGAGGAUUUGCCUAUGGGCAGCAACAUUAUUCUCUCGUUCUCUGGAUAUUAGGAACAAUAUCACAGGACCGGCGGACAGCCCCAGUCAUAUCUGACCAUAUCACAGCACGGUGUACUCCUCUUGCCGUAUUCAGAG